CAGGGAGACAACAAAAUGUUUAAUAUUAUUAUUUUGUCACCUUAGGUCGAUCGGUAUCUCACAUUCUUAAUUUAUUAAGAAUUUCAUUUCCUAAGUUUUUCUAGGUCACACCCAUUAUUUUUCCUGGGCCAUUAGCUCAGGUGGUUAGAGCGCACCCCUGAUAAGGGUGAGGUCCCUGGUUCAAGUCCAGGAUGGCCCAUAUCUCUAUGUUGGGGGUAUAGCUCAGUUGGUAGAGCGCCUGCUUUGCAAGCAGGAUGUCAGCGGUUCGAGUCCGCUUACCUCCACUGAUUACCACCUCUUCCAUAACCGGUAGAAAGGAAAUGUUUUGAGUUGUGAUCAAAUUCUGAAAGAAUCUAGCUUCCUAAUGAAAUCAUUAAGAUGCUGGACUCAUUGAAUUAAUUUCAUUGUUUUCAGAGAACCUUGACAACUGCAUAGAUUAUUUUUAAAGACAAUAAGCAUCUUUAAUGAUGCAGAUUUAUUAUUUGUGCGAAUGCAUUAAUAACAAUUCUAUUAAGCUGAUGCUUCAAUUUUUGAAGUUAUU
rnacentral:tRNA from 1 species